UUACGGCCAUACCUCGUUGAAACACCGGUUCUCGUACGAUCACCGAAGUUAAGCAACGUCGAGUUUGGUCAGUACCUAGAUGGGUGACCGCUUAAGAAUACCA